UACGAAGGGGGCUGGCGUUGCUCGGAAUCACUGGGCGUAAAGGGUGCGUAGGCGGGUUUUUAAGUCAGGGGUGAAAUCCUGGAGCUCAACUCCAGAACUGCCUUUGAUACUGAAGAUCUUGAGUCCGGGAGAGGUGAGUGGAACUGCGAGUGUAGAGGUGAAAUUCGUAGAUAUUCGCAAGAACACCAGUGGCGAAGGCGGCUCACUGGCCCGGUACUGACGCUGAGGCACGAAAGCGUGGGGAGCAAACAGG
rnacentral:rRNA from 1 species